rnacentral:rRNA from 1 species
AUCGGCAGCUAUACAUGCAGUUGAGCGCUGAAGGUUGGUACUUGUACCAACUGGAUGAGCAGCGAACGGGUGAGUAACGCGUGGGGAAUCUGCCUUUGAGCGGGGGACAACAUUUGGAAACGAAUGCUAAUACCGCAUAAAAACUUUAAACACAAGUUUUAAGUUUGAAAGAUGCAAUUGCAUCACUCAAAGAUGAUCCCGCGUUGUAUUAGCUAGUUGGUGAGGUAAAGGCUCACCAAGGCGAUGAUACAUAGCCGACCUGAGAGGGUGAUCGGCCACAUUGGGACUGAGACACGGCCCAAACUCCUACGGGAGGCAGCAGUAGGGAAUCUUCGGCAAUGGACGAAAGUCUGACCGAGCAACGCCGCGUGAGUGAAGAAGGUUUUCGGAUCGUAAAACUCUGUUGGUAGAGAAGAACGUUGGUGAGAGUGGAAAGCUCAUCAAGUGACGGUAACUACCCAGAAAGGGACGGCUAACUACGUGCCAGCAGCCGCGGUAAUACGUAGGUCCCGAGCGUUGUCCGGAUUUAUUGGGCGUAAAGCGAGCGCAGGUGGUUUAUUAAGUCUGGUGUAAAAGGCAGUGGCUCAACCAUUGUAUGCAUUGGAAACUGGUAGACUUGAGUGCAGGAGAGGAGAGUGGAAUUCCAUGUGUAGCGGUGAAAUGCGUAGAUAUAUGGAGGAACACCGGUGGCGAAAGCGGCUCUCUGGCCUGUAACUGACACUGAGGCUCGAAAGCGUGGGGAGCAAACAGGAUUAGAUACCCUGGUAGUCCACGCCGUAAACGAUGAGUGCUAGAUGUAGGGAGCUAUAAGUUCUCUGUAUCGCAGCUAACGCAAUAAGCACUCCGCCUGGGGAGUACGACCGCAAGGUUGAAACUCAGAAAAUAUUUGUACGGGAGAA